rnacentral:lncRNA from 1 species
CUCACCUACCCAUAAAGAUUGCCAAUGCUCUGAAUGACAAAAAUGAUCUAAAGAAAUUGGAUGUAGUGAAAAAGUAAAGGUUAUAUCUCACUGUACUUGAGAAGGAUCAGUGUGGCUUUCAGGCUUACUAGCCAAGCAAGGACUGCAGCUGCAGCAUCAUUUGCAGUUCCAAUUUGCCUAGCAAAUAUCAUGAAAUUUCAUAGUUCUGGCCAUUGUGUUGCAGGAAACCAGCUCUGGCAGCAUACAGGAAAAGAGAGACAGUGAUAUAAUGCACCAAAAGGAUUUUCCUGUCUAUCAGGCAAGAGAGUUGAUUCCUCGCUAGGUGGAGUGCCUACAGACAUAGGAGCUGGAACUAGUGGUGUGGAGGGUGCUGUCGCACCUUCUGUUUUGAAGUGUUUACAAUCAUAUACAGGGUUUACAGUUUGGUUCAGUGGUUCUCAGCACUCCCACUAUACAAAUUGUUCCAGCACCACUGCCUAGAGACUCCAACUGAGAUCAGGGUCCUACUGUGCUAGGAUCUGUACGUACACAGAAUGUGAAAGAGGCCCUGCCAUGAAGAGCUUACAACAGAGAUGACCAGUACCUGCUGAUAGUGGUGGGGCAGAGU